rnacentral:rRNA from 1 species
GACGAACGCUGGCGGCGUGCUUAACACAUGCAAGUCGAACGGAAAGGCCCCUUUGGGGGUACUCGAGUGGCGAACGGGUGAGUAACACGUGAGUAACCUGCCCUUGACUUCGGGAUAACUUCAGGAAACUGGGGCUAAUACCGGAUAGGAAUCCUUGCUGCAUGGUGGGGGUUGGAAAGCUUCGGCGGUUUUGGAUGGACUCGCGGCUUAUCAGCUUGUUGGUGGGGUAGUGGCUUACCAAGGCUUUGACGGGUAGCCGGCCUGAGAGGGGGACCGGCCACAUUGAGACUGAGAGGCGGCCCAGACGCCUACGGGUGGCAGCUGGGGGGAAUAUUGAACAAUGGGCGGAGGCCGGAUGCAGCAACGCCGCGGGCGGGAUGACGGCCUUCGGGUUGUAAACCGAUUUCAGCAGGGGCGAAGCUUGUGGUGACGGUACCUGCAGAAGAAGCACCGGCUAACUACGUG